GCUAAUUGGGUUAGAUGACAACAAUUCCUUAUUUGAUGUUAGUUUGCCUUAUCUUGGGGUGGGGCAGGGAGAACAACUGACUGCUUGGUUGGUUAACCCCCAUAAAAACCUCAAGGUAGGCUGAAACAGGCCAAUCCAGCAGGUACUUCAGCACAUGUGUAAUCUUAAGUGCGAGCAGUCCUACAGACGUGAAUGUGACUACUCACUGCUUACAGUUAUACAGCUGUGUGGCUUGGAAGAACCCCAGUCUGGAGGGAAAGAAGCAUGGAUCUCUAUCCAAGAGAGGUAACAGCUGAGAGCCGGGAGCCUGGAGUGGGUGCCCUUGCUGAACUGUGGAGGGGAAAUACAGGCACAGUUGCCCUGAACUUUGACACCCACAAAGUAAACUGCUAACUGCAGAGCUAAUCUUACUCAAACCUGCAACCUUUCCGUUAUCUUUUUCUAGUUCAAACCCAGAUAGCUUGCAAUAGUAUGGAUUUGUGUGUGUGGUUCCCCUCCUCCUGCUCCUUCUUUUUUGUACAGUUCUAGUCAAUAGCUUCUGUCUUUUUUUUUUUUUUAAUUGGGCUAUAAUAUGCAGUAACACUUAAACUGAGAUAAUUAACAUUGACCUUUUGCCCAGACAAUAAAAUCAAUUGUGUCGGGUGCCCAAAGAUCUGUGUGCUUGGAUCCCUGCUUUUAAUCUGUGUAUGCACAUCACUGUCAGUAAUUGAAUGAAUCAAUGUGGAUUUGAAAUUUCAUUCCUAUUCUAAUGAUUCAUAUGAUAGGGUGAAUUUUAAAAUAGUUCUAAUAUUUCUCACAUCUUUGUGCUGUUUGCUUGGCUAUCCAAAAUAAAGGCUUAAAUGUCUAGAGCUUUAACUCAAUUCAGCCAAACCAGAGCUGUUGCUUGUCCAGUCAAGACACUGGCUUCCAUCUUCUUUGUUUGUUUGUUUUUUGUAACUGUCUAAUGAAGUUCCUUCUAGAGAUAGUCCUGAAUCAGAAUCAUGGAUCACCCUUGAACUUUGGGAAAGUUUGGAUCUCAGUAGGAACUUCCAGGCUCCAGCACAUCUUUAUUCUCUUCUUAGGCUUUGAAGCUUAACAUAUGAAUUAUAUAUCUCUGCUAGAGUGAAAAUAUCCCUCUACUGCCUUAGGAAUGGUUCUUGAUUGCUAAUGCACGGAACCAUG